GGCUCAGGAUGAACGCUAGCGGCAGGCUUAACACAUGCAAGUCGAGGGGCAGCGUAAUGAAGUAGCAAUACUGAUUUGACGGCGACCGGCGCACGGGUGCGUAACGCGUAUGUAACCUACCUUUAACAGGGGGAUAACACUGAGAAAUUGGUACUAAUACCCCAUAAUACUUUAGGAGGCAUCUCCUUUAGUUGAAAGUUCCGGCGGUUAAAGAUGGACAUGCGUUGUAUUAGCUAGAUGGUGAGGUAACGGCUCACCAUGGCGACGAUACAUAGGGGGACUGAGAGGUUAACCCCCCACACUGGUACUGAGACACGGACCAGACUCCUACGGGAGGCAGCAGUGAGGAAUAUUGGUCAAUGGACGCAAGUCUGAACCAGCCAUGCCGCGUGCAGGAAGACGGCUCUAUGAGUUGUAAACUGCUUUUGUACAAGGGUAAACCCUGGGACGUGUCCCAGGCUGAAAGUACUGUACGAAUAAGGAUCGGCUAACUCCGUG
rnacentral:rRNA from 1 species